rnacentral:rRNA from 1 species
AGAUUGAACGCUGGCGGCAUGCCUUACACAUGCAAGUCGAACGGCAGCACGGGGGCAACCCUGGUGGCGAGUGGCGAACGGGUGAGUAACAUAUCGGAACGUGCCCUGGAGUGGGGGAUAACUAGUCGAAAGACUAGCUAAUACCGCAUACGAUCUAUGGAUGAAAGUGGGGGGAUCGCAAGACCUCAUGCUCGUGGAGCGGCCGAUAUCUGAUUAGCUAGUUGGUGGGUAAAGCCUACCAAGGCAUCGAUCAGUAGCUGGUCUGAGAGGACGACCAGCCACACUGGGACUGACGACACGGCCCAGACUCCGUACGGGAGCAGCAGGUGGGGAAUUUUGGAACAAGUGGGCGACAAGCCUGAUCCAGCAAUGCCGCGUGAGUGAAGAGGUCCGUUGGUUGUAAAGUCGUUC